rnacentral:misc_RNA from 1 species
AAAAAAUUCUGUCAAUGUUAGGUAGAGAGGAAGAAGAGUUUCAGCACAUUCAAAAUUGUUGAUCAGCACUGCCCUCCAUAGUUUAAAUCUGUGCUUGAUAAAAAAUUGCAAGCCCAUCAUUGUCACAGAAACAGGACAAAUGAUAAGGAGCCAUUUAACUUCCAAGGGCUAUGAAUGUUUAUCGAUACCUGCAUUGGAUGACCCUCUGCAUAUGAUUAUCCAGCUCCAGAAAAAUGAGAUACUACUUACCAAGGACAGUUGCCAAGAUACAUGCUUCCAGUUUAUGGAUAAAACAGUUGCCAGUAGUUCUUGUCCAAACAAUUCGGGUUCCUGCAAUGAUUUCAUUGUGCAGAUAAAUUCUUGCCUCCAGAAGAGGAACAAGCAAAAAUUCAUUUCGAUACAUGUACGAGAUAGAAUUACAACAGCACAGGAAAAAUGAUAUAUAUUAACAAAAAAUGGCAUGGCUUCAGAAUUGGAAGAAUUGGAAGACUCUUGCAAAAACCCACUUGAAUAGCAAGAUAGACAACGUUGGCAAGUGUAAUCAGUACAAAUCCUUCCGCUGAUCUACGAAAAACAAACUUUGCUAUUCAUCAGAUGCAACUUUAUUUGUGUUCAUGAGACUUAUAUUAUCUAUUAUUUAGGAAGAAGGUGCAACUUGUCUGCUCCACUGAUGCAACCAACCAAAUCCAAGUCCAGAAUCACUAUUGUGAGAAAUGGCCUACAACCCUCACAGAAAAAAGAAGAAAAUGCAAUUUCUGCAGCUAGAAAUCACACUCCAAGAUUUAUCCACAAAAGAUUGCCCUAUAAAUAGUAGUUCAUGCCCACCUCAAUUAAAGAAAUAUGAGGAAUAUCCAAGGAGACAGAAGGGGACCGGCAGUUUUUACGCAAGAAAGAGUAGAAGAUAUUGAUCAAAAGCCUCUUCAAGAACGGUGCACUCCAUUUCGCCUUAAUAUGUGAGUGACCUAUUACAUAUGCUACCCCAGCAUCCUUAGCUUCCAGAAGCUCCAACAGCUCGUCUUUAGCUUGUAAAUCCUUACAUUUUGCAUCUGAAAGCUUUAACAGGAUACGCCGCCUAUGUUUUAGUUGGGGUGUCUCCUGCUCCUCAUACAUAGAUUUUAAUUUCUGCAGUGCAGCUGACCUGCUGCUGCAACCUACAGUAGUUGGGGACCUUGAACUGCUGCUUUCUCCAUAACCAUCAGAUUCUGAAAUUAUGAAUCUUUUCCCAAACUUUUCAGAUGUCCUCACAACUGCCAUCCGACCAUCCACAGAACCAUCAACACUCCCACAACCUUCAGCUUCCAGUUGGAUAAACUCUGCUAUGCUCAUCACAAGUGCAUUCUCAACAUCAUAUUCACUUUCUUUUUCCUGGACAUCAUUAUAUCCAUUUCGAAUGAUGCAGCGAUACAAAUGAUAAGAUUUGGGGCCAAUCCGACCAAUAAGAUACCUUUCAUUUUGGGGGACAUAAGGAACAGGAACAAUCUUAACACAGACAAAUACAACCACCUUGUAAAAUGCCGGUAAGUUGGUUAAGAAAUGGGAAAAUGUGGCUGGGACGCCACUAGCUAACUCAGUGUAGAUAAGACCAAUCCCAGGAACCCUUACAAUGCCAAGAUCAGAACCAAGAGUGAGGAUCCAUUUCAUGGGUACUUUGUUAUGUACAUCAUAUAAAUACUUCUUCCUGCUACCAUAAUGCCAAACAAACAUAAUGAACGUGGAGACUGCAGAGAGCACAAGAGGAACCCAUCCACCCUUGGGAAUUCUCAUAAAAGAAGAUGAGAGGAAAAUAAGCUCUAUUAUUCCAAAGAACAAGAAGUAUAAAAGGGCAAAACCGACACUCUUAUGCCAUAUAAAGUUGACGACCAAUGACAUCAAACACGUGGUCACAAAUAUCAUAGUCAUGAAUGCAAUCCCUGAAAUCAAGGUUCCAAAAUUAGCAUUUUUAAGACAACAACAUCAGUUUUAAACAAAAGAACUAUGAUCCAAAAUUUUAUUAUAGUUUCAACUCAUGGCAUAUGUAGGAUUCAGUAAAAAAUUGUUGCCACUAUUGUGUGUGAUGGUCAAUCCUCUUCUCCACCAAUGAGAUGAUCCGACUUUUUAUAGGCAUGUGUUUUCUGACCAAACCAUCAAGACAAGUAUUGCUAAUAAAAACAGUCCAUUCUUUCUAGCAACGAACAUGAUUCACACAGAUUUUGAGAGAUGGAAUGUCCAACUCCAACAUGCUUUCUUAAGGGGGAAAAAAAGAAAAACUCUAUUUCUUUAAAUCAAGUUCACAAUCAUUCACUGUACAAGUAUAAUUGCAUGACAAUAUGCAGAUGUAUCAAAAGAACAUGAUUACAUAUCUAUAACAUUCUAGUAUUAAAUAUAGCAUCAAGGGGAAAAAAAAGGACUAACCAUAAGCAUUUCCUAUACUGUUAGUGUCAUGAGAGCCAAUUGUUACAGCCAGACAGAGAACCAUAAGUAUCCAAUUUAUUUCUGGGAUGUACAUUUGACGAUCAAUCCAUUUUGGUUUGUGUACAAUCUUGAUGCGAGGGAAACAUCCAUAUGCAUGGCAUUGUUUGACGAUUGAAAAUGUGGCACAUACUACAGCUUGGCUGGCAACAAUUGUAGCUAAAAUUGCCAUCACCAGUACUGGCCAAAAUAGUGAAUCUACAACAGCCGGUCAAAGCAUUCGUUUAAACAACAGCAACAAUGGUAAUAAGAACAAAAUGUAUUUUCAGUGUUGUCUCUCAAGGGAUAAAGCUCAAAAAAAGGUAUAAUUGCAUUCUUGCUUAACAAGGUUAGCAACUAGAAACUGAAAGUGAAUAUAGAAAAUUCCAGUAAGUUAUAGAAUUCCAUUACACAGUUCUUAAAGAAAGUGAGGCCAUUGGCAAACUGGUUCAUACCCCUCAACUCAUAAUUCUGUAAAAAGCACUGUUAGCCAUCUCAAUCUGUUAUGCAUAAAUUUAAAUAGAUUUGCCAGAACCCCUUUAGAACCACUAAGAUCAUAGAUAUUGAUAAAGCCUCACAAAUGUAAAUAUGGUGAAAAUAGGAACAUAUUCACCAUAAAUGAUAGCUUAAUGAUAGAUAAUUUACCUGGAAUUGAAGAAUAGAAACUCAUGGAUACUGUAGAAAAAUUUUUUGAAAUAAAUGCAGCUUGCCCCAUGUAUUGCAGCACUAGACAUGGAUAUACAACAAAAGAAAAUGCAACCCUUACUGAUGAAGCAGUGAACUGGCCUAGUUCUGCAUAUAUAACUUCAGUUCCGGUAAUACAUAAAAGUAUCCCUCCAAGAGAAAUCCAACCA